UAGAUUUUUUAUCCUAAGCCUUUUAGUAGUAGCCAAUUUGUCAAAUAUUGAUUUUACCCUCUGAAGGCCCCAGCAGGAACGAGAUUGCUGCUAUUUUUUAUAUUGUGUCAAUCAACUCUUUAAACACGCCUACUGGACAAUAUUAACACGCCUUGUUUAUUCUUGUAUACUGGGAAUUUUAGAAUUGAUUGUUAAGUGGGAGGGGCUUCAUUGUCAACAUUGAGAGUUAAGAUAACACUGAGAGAAUGUGUUAGCAUCAAGCCACAUGUGUGACUAUUGCCAUUAUAGAUAGAAGAAAUAUUUAAGAAAAAAAGUGGAAAAAUAAGAUUGUUUUUUUUUUAAUUUUACAUUCUUAAAUAUUUGGUGUAGAAAGUAACUCGUAAUAAUAUUCUAUUUUUGCUUUUAGGAGAACAGGAUUUUGUGAAUGGACUUUUACGAAUAUUGAUAUUUGAGGAUUAAUUUAACAAAAGUGUUUAUAAUUUGCAGUAUAUUCUGUUUUCUAUUUUGAAAUUGGAAUACCAUGCACUGAGAAAUAGAAGAAAUAUUGGAUUAUUUAAAUAGAUCUUUAUAGAGAUAACAGGAUAUUUUAUGGUUAUCGCACUGGACAUUUUAUUAUUGUCAGGUAAGAUGAUCUUUUAUCAAUAUUUUUGCCAUAAACCAAUUAAUACAAAUUGUAUUUUCUCAUUAAGUAAUGCAAUUAAACAUGAAGACAAAAGUUAUUGAUUGUAAACGUUGAUGGAUUUUUUAUCUUGUUUUAUUGGUGGAUUGGAGGAGGAUUAACAUGCACCUGGACAUCUGUAUUUUUUUCUGGCCAUUACAAUGGGAUGUUGAUGUAUCUCUUGGGUCAUCAGGGAAUUGAUGGAUUCUUUGUUGAUAUGAAUCAGCCUGCCAUUUUUGCCGUCCUGGACAUUGCUCAAAGUAAAUUGAUUUGGUGGUUGUUUAAGCUAAUAUUUUGCAUCUAGAGUUUAUGAUUAAAAAUGAUUCCAAUAAGUUAGUUUGGGAUGUUUAACAUCCUACAUGAUACUUUAUGCUGUAAGUCAGACAGGAUUUUAUUCAAACAACAUGCUUCUAAUGAAAUACUAAUAUCAAACCAACUAAGUAUGUACAAAAAAUGGAAAAUGGAAAUCAGAAUAAAAAAUACCAGUUAGCUAUAAAACUUUUUACUGCUAAAUGUAUAGAAUUGAGAUGCGAUUACAAAUUAGAAAAAACAUAUCUGAGGUUAAACCAAGGUUCGAGGUGUAGUCAGUUAUUUUAUCUGUGUUGAAAUAUGAUAAAUCCGUGCAAACAUUUAAUUUGAUAAAACAAUAUUUCUUAUCACACUUGUCUGUUAAAAUAAAUAAUUUACCAAAUUUAUUAUUGUAUUGUUUUAAAGAAGCGUCUCCACUUCAGUAUUUCCAAUAUGAUAUAUGGAUAUAAUUUGGAGUGGAUAAAGCAGCAAUAUUUAUUUUUUAUGAAAAUAUCUGUCAUAUUUGAUUGUAAAUCCCUAGAUAACAAUUAGGCUGGCUAACAGUCAGAACAGUUACACAGUAAUGUGUGGUGAUAUUAUAGUCAUUCAAUCUAGGCUAUUUCAAAUCUCAGUUUGACAUUUUACAGAACUGACAAUGUGGUUCAGUGGUAUUCUAAUCUUUUUAACUGUUUUUGACUGAAUUUCAAAUUAGGUUUUGGUAUGACAAAAAUAAAUGACAGUUAUGAAAUGUUUUAUUGAGGCCAUGUGGUUGGAUGGUUAUUGUGGAAGAUUAACCUUCUUUUAGAAUUCUCCUUUUGAUUCACAACUGUGUGCUUGUAUGGAAGUUGCUAUAUUUAAUGGAUUCGUAUUCAUAGUGAAGAAACAUCCCAUAGGGGCUUUCAAUAGUAAUUUCAUUAGUUUUUACAAAAAAAUCAAAGCAUGACAGCAGUAUAAUUCUUUCUAAAGUGCAUCUUCUCAGCUUGUGAUUUAUAUUUGGUCCAGUGGUACAUCAAUACAAAAUCCUAUUUAAAAUUGUUGUCACACAAUUUAAUUACGACUCAACCAGACUCUUAAUAAAAGUAUCUCAAAAGAGGAUAUGAUUAUGCAAAUGUAACAUCAAAAGAAUUUGUAAUUAGGUUUUCAUAAAUAUUCCCUUAUUAAAAGGUUACUCAAUAUCCAUACCCAGUCAAGUUAUGAAUAAAAUUACUGCUAUCAUUUAUUAAUGAUUUGAUGUGAUAAGUGACCAUUGUCCGAAUGGCCAGCUGGUGUGGACAUAUGGAACCACAUUAACUCCCUGUCCCUGGAGUGAUGUCCAGUGUACAUUAGCAGUGGUUAUUAUAUCAUCAAUGACAGAAAGUCAACUUAAAUCUCCUUAAUAUAAACAUCAAUAGGAGGCUUGUUCACUUAAACAAUUGAAAUUUUUAGUGAAAUCACAUUUAAAGCUGAUCAGUUAAUUGAAACUUUGUAAUGCUGCCUGCUGUACAUGUAAAGAUAUACAUGUACAAUGUAUGAACUUUUGUAUCUAUAUAUACUUGUACAUUAAUUCAUACAUGCUUAUAAAUAUUCUGUAUUCAUGCAUUUGAAUAAUAUUCAAUCGAUGAGAAAUAAACUUUUAAAAAAAAUGACAAUAGUAAAAACAAAUACAUUUGUCAAAAUAUAUAAUAGUUCUCAGUAUAAUAUUCAAAUAUGUAACAAAAAAAACCCAUCUGAACAUAGUUAAAUUGAUUUUCUUAGAGCUUCAUUUCAAAUUGAUUAAACAACUGUUAGACUAUAAUUAUUCUUUUUAGAUCUUUCAUCUUUAAAUUAAUAUAUAUCAAAAAUAUUUUUUUUGUAUAAUAAGUAAUUCAUUUCUUAUACAAACAUAAAUUUUUUUCUGCAUCAACAAAUAUUACAAAUUCUAUUUCAGCCAUUAACAUGAUUAAUAUACAAAUGUAGGUGAAUUUAAUAGUGUAUAGAAAUUUAUUUAAAAUAAAAAAUUGGAUAAAUAUUGAACUUUUCCAUCAUAUUAUAGAUUAGGACAGAGUUGUUUGUUCAAAGAUCAAUUUUGAUUCUAUAGUUUGUGUAUAUAAGGGAUUUCAACAUAACCUUACAGCCUGGCACUACAGGGUAACAGUCGGAAAUACAGGAUGGAAUUACUUCAAAAUGUUUAUUUUCUGGAUUAUAUAUAAAUAUGGGAUGCAGGGAAUUUUAGAGAAGUAGUUAGGAGGGAUAUAGGAUUUUAUUAAUUGAAAAAAAAUAUUGACAACCAGAAUUUUGUGUAAAAAUGAUAACAGUGUUAGGGAGGGGUAAGAGGGUCAAUAGGAAGUAGUCACUUAAAGAUGUUGAUAUUUUAGAUUUUAAACUUAAUAAUUGUACUUGAAUUAAUCUUGAAGUAGCAUUAUACAGAUGCCAUUUUGAAAAACUGAAUGAAGACAGUAUGAUGACAGCAAUCAGCAAAUACGUGUGUGCUGUGUAGUAAUUUUGACCAUCAGAUGCAAGUUUUGGGUAAAUAAUAAUUUUCAUAAAAUCAGGAUUUAAAACCAUAGAAUUAUAGUGUUAAAAUGAAAAAAAAAAUCAAAAAUCUGAUGUAUUGCACAAUAAUUAUUAUGUAAGGCUGUAAUUGGUGAAAUCAUUUAUGCUGCUUUGACAUACAGUCUAAUCAGUAUUGUCUGUACAUAGAUUUUUACAUGUUAAGCCAAGGAUUUGGUUUAGUCCAUAUUUGUUUUGUUUUAUAAGUUGUUGGCAUUCUGAUGUCUUGUCAUAUUACAAACAAAACAAUUUUCAAUAUGAAGUUUUACACAAUGUUAUACUGUUCCCCCAGUUUCCAUGUACGAUUUUUACACCCUGUCUUAAUAUUCCCCAAGUUUCCUGUAAGUUUUAGCGGGUUUUUGCCAAGUUUACAUAUUUUUACAGCAAAGCUUUCAUAAAGUUAUUGAGAAUCAUGUCUAAAUAGGUGUUUUUACAGCGGGGUUAUAGAUUAUCUCGGCAUGAAUCUUAAAGGGUUCUGGUUCUAAUGACAUCUUAAACGAUUACAUCUGGGGUUCCGUAAACAGGAAUUUCAUAACAAUAAAUUGAGAACAGGAUGUAAUUUGUUUUUCUCUGUUGUGUGAACCUGCAUUGCAAGGUUAAUGUGCAUUGUUUGUAAUAAAGUGUGCACCAAUUCUUUCCUGGAGUUAGAUAGAAAUAGAAACAAUUAAAGUGAUAAGUGCUUGGAUUAAUUCGUCUAAUGUAGAUGUCUAAUUUCAUUUUGUCAAGUUAAGCUUGGAAUUGUAAUUGUGUAAUGCUAUUUUCUCCAAAAAACAUAUUUUAACGAGUAAUGAUUCAUUGUAAAGAUAGAACCAUCUUCAUAGCAUACCAAACAAGAAACAUUUUGAGAAAAAAUUACCAUUUCAAAAUACAAAUUAUUUUUAAAUUAAUUGUUCACAUUUGGAGUUCGUAUAUUCAAAAGCGUAAAUCUUGGAUUAAAGGAAUUCAAAUGUAUCUGUAGCUGGACAGUGGUACUAGGUAAUCCAGUUGCUUUUGAAUUGUUUUGUUGCAGUUUUCAUGCACAAUGUAUAUACAAAUGUAUUGUCCUCUGAACUCUUUGACUUUCUGAUUCGAUCAAAGACAGUUCCAUAUCAAGCAUGGUACACUGUAUCUUAUACAAAUGUACUUGCCAUUGAUGUGUGAAAUGUAUGAUGUGGCAGUUUUUUUUAAGGCCCUUUUUGGUUUUGAUGCUUUUGAGUAUUUUAUAUACAUGUAUUGGUACUUUGCUUUUCAAAUUCUUGGUCUCCUUCAUUCUUAUUUAAUGUUUUAUUCAGAAAACAUUUAUGAUCACUUCAAUCAGGAUUCAGUUCAUUAUUAUCUGCAGGAAGUGUAAAAACAAUGAGUAAAACAAAAACAAAGUCGGAUUAACCACAAUUAUCAAAAAAAGCAAGUUGCGUAUAAAGAGGGAUAACUCUAUCGAUAUUCUUGGCAUUACACUCCCCGUCUGAUAUGAAUAUAUCACUAAUAAAAUUUAACAAUACUUCAAAAAUCAAAAAGUUUGUCCAAGUACACAAUAAAAAAUGUUCUCAUUCUAUAAAGUUCACAAAUUAUUUACACAUAACAAAUACUACUUCAUUAGCAGGUCUAGUGAAUAACUUCCUGUUCUUCCCGAGACGCACUUGAACUUCACGGACGCGACCAUCAGAGCUUGCAUAUGUUUGUUCAAUAACACCAAUAGGCCAGUCAUUACGGUGCAAGCUAACAUCACGCAUAAGAACAAUGUCACCUUCAGUUAAGUUUCUGCACUCUUGUUUCCAUUUGUUUUGUAUGCCAUAACCAUUUAAUGUAAAUGUGUUUGUGCGAAUAAAAUAUUGUCUAAAAUAUUGUCUAUUGUCUAUUUUUAAUUAUAACUCAUUUUGAAUGGAAGUCAAAGAACUCAAGCCGUGACAUUCUAUUGUGUUUUCCCAGCAUAUAUAUCAUUGCACAUCUGCUAGUUGUGUUCUAGUAUCUGCUUUGAGGGUCAAAAGGGCAGUAGAUUAUUUGCAUGUAAUGUGUAAGCAAUUAGACAAGAGAAAGGAUUUUAUAUGAAAUCAGAUGGUAUGUAGGGGACAGUGUAAUGGUUUGGUGAUUGUUUGUGACAUACUCAUUUGUUUUCCCAAUCAUACAUCUCACAACAGUUAGGAAGAGAUAUUCAUAAUACAUCCAUAUUGUUAAGGGACUAUAAAACAUCUAUUUUGUUUAGAGACUAUAAAACAUCUAUAUUGUUUAGAGACUAUAAAACAUCUAUUUUGUUUAGAGACUAUAAAACAUCUAUAUUGUUUAGAGACUAUAUACUUAAUUUUUGUUCUCAAUGAUCAUGAUGAUACAUCACAUAAUAGUUAUGAAGAGAUAUUCAUAGUACAUCUAUAUUGUUUAGAGACUAUAUACUUAUCUUCUGUCUCAUCAGAUACAUAUAUAUAUUGUUUAGAGACUAUAUAGUUAACUUCUUUCUUGUCAGACAAAUCAUUUUCAUGUUUGAUCCUUAAGGAUGUAAAAAGAUAUAAUGCAAUUUUUACGUGGACAUUUAUUGCUUUCUCUUUUUGCACAGAUGUACAGUAUUAAUGUAAAUGUAUAUAUAUUGAAUAGUCAUAGAAAACGAUACUAAAUUGUUGGCUUGAAAACAGUACAGAAAAGAAGUUGAAGUCAGCACUCUUCACAUGAAACAUACCUUUUGCUCUUUUGAUCUUUAAGUGCUUUCAUAUUCUACAUUUUUUGUCUAUUUUGAUUUUUUCUAAGAUGUAUGUUUUUUCUCAGUUUUGAAUAAAGGUACUCAGGUUUGCCCUCUUAAAUCUUGGCUUAGAAUUGAAUUGUAGUGAAAACUGGAUGUUUAAUUUAAUUAACAGGGCUUGAAAUGUUUUAUUUCAUACUAACAUGUAUCUUGUGAUUAAAUCAUCACUUUUAUUUCUAAAAUAUCAUAAACCAUCAUAUUUGAUAUGUUUAAACAAUUGUUUGUUGAAAGUAUCAACUAUUUGAGCUUGUCUAGAUCAAGAUUAUCUGUGUAGGAAAUGUUUCAGGGUGACCAGGCUUUUAUUAAGGAUUUAGCUACAUUUGAUAGUGCAGGGGUGAAAGUAAUUAAGAUGUAAACAAUGUGUCCAUUAUGUCAUGUGACAUGAAGACUGCCAAAGGUGUAAGGCAACCCGGGACCACAUGGGGAGGAAUGUAAUGUAAACAUUGUAUACAUGUUUUCUCCUGCUUUUGUGUAUUUACAAGUGAGUGAAGUCAGUUUAUAAACUAUUUUCCUGUUGUUACGAAGCUUUUUGUUACAGGGUACAUUGUUGACCAUGAAGUGGGGGUUUCUCUGUGGGAGAUGGGCUCCACUUUUCUUUUCUGUAGGGUAACUUGAUUUAAUUUAUGCAGUUUGUACUGGUAUUGUUGUUAGAUUUCUGUCACUUGAUAUCCUUGAUUCAUAUGUGUAUUUAGAAUAUGGACAAGAAUCGUUUUUCACUGGUCUAUUCUUUCUGUAAUUUAUGAGGUUUAACACCAUUAAGAUUCUGUCUGUAUUGAAACUAGAUAGAUGCAUUUCUUGUCAAUUUUGUAAUAUAACUGAAUUGGAUCAUUGUAAUAGUAUCUUCACAUCAUGUACAUUGUACCGGUACAUUUCAUGCCAACACUGAUUUUAUCCUGUAAUAUAUCUAGAAAAGGUCCUAUAACAUACCUGGUAAUGGCCUAAUACAUACUUGCAUGUAUAGUUUUAUUUUUAAAAUGUUUAAUGGAGUUAAUUGUACAGUUGAUGCAAUCAAACUCGCUUUAGAAAUUACUAGCUAAUAGAUUAAGCAAGUACAUGCAUUGUAAGGCAUUUCAUUUUGCAGCUUAUAUCAUAAAGUCUAUAUGAUUUAAGGCCUAAAAUAAAAUAUUGUUUGUUUUACCCAAUCCCGACAGACCCUGCAAAAACAGACCCUGCAAAAAUGAUGCUACUCAUAAAUUUUAUUGUCACAGCUAAGUCAAAUAUUAUUUUAUUCAUUUCCAAUUUUUCAUGUUUGCCCGAUUGACUGUUAUUGUUUCAGCUAUUUGGAAAAAAUAAAAAUAUUUCCCUACCUACCUACCCACACCUGGCUUGGGAGGGUCGGGAUUGGGGAAACAAACAAUUUAUUAAUUUAGGCCUAAGCGACCAAACAAAAAAGAAGAGAACAAAAAGUCAACAAAACAGUUCACUGAAGGCUACCGAUAAACAUUCAGAACAAUGCUGUUCCCAUUUAAAACUGGACAUGUACUCAUGAAUUUUGAACGAGUCAGUCAUUCCUGCUCCAAUUCAUAGUGAUGUAAAUAAGACAAAACAUGAGUUAAUCACUAUUACUCUAUGAGAAUAUAUAAUGGUAUUAUUAAACAUAUAUUGAUGUACAUGUAGACAAAUGAAAAUGUUAUCUUUAGUUAAAUGCAUCUGUUGAACAAUUGUUAGAAUUUUUAGUUUUAUUCAGAAAUCAUGUAAAGUAAGAGCCAUCAAUCUUGAUUUUAUGUAUGUCUAUAGAGAAUUUGAACAUUGUGCAGUCAUUACAUUUACAACUGAUAUUGCAUUUGACAUACAGAAAGAAAUGAUAUACAGAAGUGCAAUAAUGGAUGCAAUUAACGUAAAAAGAUUUAUUGGAUAAAAGUCUUGAAGCACUGAAGCCCAACAGUAAGAUGUAUCCAAACAUGAACAGAGUUGCCCUUUUGUUUGGUUGGGAGGAUUGAAGAAAGAUUGCAAAAGGGAACAGAUUGUUACUACAUUGCAUAUCAAAUAAGCAAAUGAUAGGUCAGCAUGAACAGAUAUUGUCAGCCAUUAUCCAUCCUACAUUUGUACAGGUAUUGAAAUUGUCCAGCUACUGUAGCAAAGAAAGGCAUUUACAAUCUUAGUAUUCUACCCACUUAUAGUUGUAUAUUUUCAAUUUGCUUUGUUUUUUAUCCACUAAUAUUUUAGCCUGUAAUUUUCCUUUUAAGAGUUUUCUUCAUGUUUUACUUGUGUUUUAUUGCCGAAAUCUUAAGACCACAUCCUUUCUUAUAACAUGAACAUAUUGACUAAACAAUUCUGCCUUAAUGUAAAAUGGCUGAAAUAAGAGUUCAAUUAGGUCAUCUAAGUAAACUUUAUGGUGAAAAUUGCAUUAAAAUCGUGGUUGCUUCUUAAUAAAAUAUUUCAGAAUGGCCAUAUUGCAUGUGAAAGAGUCGUAGUCGUCAAUAGAUUCCUUGUUAAAGCUAUCUGAGAUGGUCCUCUGAUAAAGAUCUUUUUCAGAAGAAAACAUCAUUACCUAUCGGCAAUCAAUACCAAAUAAAAAUUGGCAAUUGUAGAUUCUAGUAGGACAGAGAAUUGAAUGCAAGGAAAAUUACAUUGAGGAGAUACAUUUAUCAUUGACAUUUAUCAUUGGGAAAAUAGGAUCUAGUUUGUUUAAUAGUCUCUAUUGGUAUGAAUCAAGAUCGUUUUAUUAGUUUAUAGGUUUUUCAUAUUAAUUUAAGUCAUUCAGCCAUUCAACUUUGUUCCUUUCUUAUAUAAAUUGCUUAUCAGCUACUAGCUCUAUACUUGACAUUCAACCUCUUUUGUUAUGGGAGAUGAAAGGUUAAAAAUAAAUGGAAUUUUUAGUGUAAUGUUUAGAGAAAAUUAGUUUGAAAGUUGGACAUUUACAAUUUUUGUUAUGUGUUAGGAUAAAUGUGUAAAGCUAUAAAUUUUUCGUAAUGUUGGGGAAUAAAAGUGUUUAGCUAUAAAAACUAUUAAGUAGUUAUAAACCCUAUUGUUUACUAUACAAAUCUAUAAAAAGGAAUCUAUAUUCUUGAUAGUUUCUGUGUUAAAUCUCUUAAAAACUUUCAUCUGUUCAUGUAACCGAAUAGACACUGUCAGUUGAAUGCUUUCUUGCAUGUCUUUUGGUUGUUUUUGUCAUACAUACAUAUGGUUGCUGCCUCAUUGAGGUGAACCUCAUAUCUCUAUGUUUUCAUAUAUAUUUCAUUAGUUGUUAGAUUUCAAGCUUGUUUGAAAAUCAAAAGAUAUUAAUAUGUUACAACCCAAUGUGGUAUGUAGAUUUUGAGGUUUCAGAGUAUGGUUUCGCUUUGGGAUUUUUCACCAUGUUUACAUCUUCAGAAUCUUGACUAUUUAUCAGAGGGAAAAGAUUCAUUAGUUUAUUAAUGUGUCCUGUUAAAUCAUUAUAGUAUGUUUUACAACUAGUCUUCUGGGUUUUAAAUUCAUUUUUGUUCCCUGAUUAAUAAAACAAACUUUAUAUUAAAAACCAUCCUUGAAGCAUACUAAAUUUCAUGUAAUAACAAGAAUUUGAUGAGCAAAAUAUCUGGAGAAAAGUGAGAAGUUUCUGACCUUGGGUGAGGCACGUUUCUCUUGGUGAAAAAAAAAAGUAUUUUUUUAAGUGUGUUCCUUGAAUUUAUUUCUCAAGCUGUUGAAAUAAGUCUGUAAACUUAAACACUGUGGUAAACUAAAUCUGUUCUUAUAGGAAAAUGUAAAAUAUGAACAUGAACAUGAAUGAAAAGUGGGAGGUGGUUGAACCCAACUAAUUCAGUCCCUCCCCGUUAUCUAUCCCUCCUAGUUCUGAGGUGUAACGUAGUCAACUGAAUUAUUGGGGUGAGAACAGGUUUUGCUCAUAAAAGGAAUAAAAUCCCCCAAAGAAAAACGUCUUUAAAAAAAGAUACUUGUAACUUAAAGUGUUAAAAAAAGAAAUUGGUUACUUAGUGCCUUUCCCCUAAUCUAAAGCAAACAAACAAUCUAUUUAGGUACAUAGCCAUUAUGACAUAAGUUAGUUAAUAUCAUUUGUACAAAAAAACAGAAUCAAUCCCUGCUUAUUCUUUACAGAACUUUAAUUCACUUACUCACCGUAGAGUGGGCAUUCAUUGACUGUACUUAUUGUAAUAACAGCUAAUGAUAUAUAUGUCUGUAGAAAGUACUUUAAACUAAAUACGGUAUUAAAGAUAUGUAAAUUAAAUGUAUUUUUCAUGUAAAAUUGACCCUUGAUGUGCUUAUUUCAUUCAUUGGUUGGUCCAUGCAUGAAAAUGCACAAAAUAUGGUUUUACAUCAAAAUUUAUUAUAACUCUUUCCUCUACAGGACAACGUUUCGUAACCGAUACCUAAUCCUUUUAUACAUGGUUUACAAAGUUUAUGUAAAUUAAAUGUAUUUAUGAUGUAAAAUGACCGAUUUCAUACAGAAGCAAAUGUUAAAGUCGAUAUUUUAUGAUAGUUACAAAGUGGCUACAAUGCGUCGUUUAUACAAUCAUAUAUAAUUAAAAGCGUAUCAAAUUCUUCAAAUUUUAACGAAAUAACACCUGUAAUUUGUUUUAUAGAUCUUUAAAUCUGAUCGUUAAGAACAACAAAGAGUCAUGUAUUCGUCAAUGAUCAGGUAUCACUAUACUAAUUAAUCUGAUACCUCUCGUAAGUAGUUUAAUAGUCAAGUAAGUUUCAAAUAAUAUCAUACAAAUUUCAUAUGUGGGUCCAUGGCCAAUUUGUGGUUCUAUAAACGAACACAUACAACUUUAUUUUCGUUGUUUCUCUUGUAAACGAUCAAAUUAUUUUUAUGAAUCACUCGGGUAUAAUGUACCAGGGUACGUAAAUCUUAAUUCUUUUGAUCGUGUUAAUCGUUUCAGUCCAAUAAGGUAGUGUCAAGUGGAGCAAUAAUUCGUAACAACUCAGAAUCUAGGUAUUUAAAAGGUAAAGCAGUUUACAUUUGUCUGGUACUACGGAGUGAGUCUGGAGAGGGAUUCUUUCAUGUGCUUUUUAAGUCAAUUAUAAAUGCACGGAAACCGAGUGCUAAAUAAAUAGAACUAGUGCAAAGUCAAACAUUAAAGUAACGAGAGUAAAAAUCAAAGGUAAAGGGAGGUUGCUUUGGUAUAAUGACGAAACACAGUAAAUAAGGUUUGAAGACAUGACAUAAUGGGUGUGUCCGGGGGUUUUCAAACAAAUUGUUUUAUGGCGAGUUACCUUGUGAUCUAUGGAACUUCAAUCUAACAAAAUGUUACUUAAUAUUCAGAAAUGUUAGUCUCUUUUUGUACAUGUGUAAUAGUUAACAAAAAACACUGGAGUCAAUAUAGCAGAAAUGUGGUUCUAAUUAUCAAGUGAAAACAGAUAAUUGAAGAAAGAAUUGACAGUGAAUUUUUGAAGAUAGAUUUAUACAAAGCUAUUUUGCUUUCUGUGCCAAGAUUUUAUGAUUUAAACAAUUUACUUGUGGGUGAAAACACUAAGCAGUAAAAUAGUUGAAAAUAACCAUUAAUGCCAAAUAAAGUGACUUUAAGUUGACUUGAAAUCAAUAUUUUACUAGAAGUAGAGUUGAUUAACACCCUGUGAACAUGGAUUUUAAAGACAGUUAUUAAGAUAUGUCAUAUUUGUCAAGGACUAUUUAUCUUUUAUAUGUCUGAAGGUUUUAACUGUUUUAUUGGCUUUUGCUCAUUGUUUUAUACAAUUUAUACCUUAAAAGAGUACUCAGAAGUGCUUCAAAGUCAUGAUGUCAUCCUGUUAUUUAUGACUGAGUGGUUGUCUUUUCUGUUUUGAUAUAAAGUGUACAUGUACACUCUGUUUUUUUAAGUAUAAGCUGUUUCAGCAUGUUCAGUUGAGUUGGAUUUUUAGUCAGCCAGAAAACUCAUCAAAGUUUCCUGGCUGAGGCUGCUUAAUUAGUCCACCAGACAGGUAUUUUGAAGACCCAUUGGUGGCCUUCGGCUGUUUUCUGUUCAUUGGUUGCGUUGUUGUCUCUUUGACACAUUCCCCAUUUACAUUCUCAAUUUCAUGUGUUGUAUGGUGAAAGCAUUUGGUGCUUAUUUUUAAGUUGAAAUAUUACAAGAUGAUUGGACAUUAAACUGUGGUCUGCACUCUGCACAUACAUUAUGUACAAUGCAGUCCUCAAAACAAUACACAAAAAAUCCCUUACAUGUAUAUUAAUUAGUCCUAGAUAAAAUUUGGCAUGACAGAUCUGAGUUUUUGGUCCACUUCAAUAGUGUAAAUAAAAGCCUUUAUAACAUAUGAAGUAAGCUUUAUGUUAAAGUGUAUUAGAUUUUUGUACUAUUCUUUUAUCAAAGACAACAAUGGUAUAGUAAAUAUUUGAUUUAUUAGAAUCUUAGAUGCCAAGCUUACUUUGAAUUAUGUUACCCUUAAAGGAAAACUCAACUUCAAAGUUUGUCAAGAAUCGGAGAGUAAAUAUUAGAUAUAUGAUUCUUAAAAUCUUUCAAGGAUUAAUAAAUUAAAAUUCAAAAAUAUAAAGAUAUCAUAGCAUAAAUUACAAUGAAAUGAAUCGUUGUGGACAGAUUUCAUGUUUACUUUCGAUAAUUAUUUCGGGCUCCAUGUUAGUUUGAGACGACAUGGUAAUUCACUUUUCAAGUGUCAAGAUUUAUGAAGAAUUUGAAUAGAUCAUGAUUUAGCAAUACUUAAUGGAAGUUUUUUCGAUUGUGUGUGUAUUGAAUGUACACGCCAAAGCAGGAACUUUCCCAUUGAUUUAUUAUGUAAGGAUUUCUUUUGUUCAAAGUUAACUUUUGGUUGUCUUUUCAUCCUGGUUCAGCUUUAACCUUGAGUUGUCUUUUUAUCCUGAAAUUGCAUAAAUAAUGGUACUGUGUAACUUUUAAGGGAUAUUUUUGUGGUUGCUAUACUUUUAUGUACAAAUUUUUAUUUUUUAUUUACGAAACGUUGGGACUCCUAAAAUAAUUAUGACAUUUAGAAAUUGACCGGAUUUCUUGAAAGGAGUAGAAAGUUUGCUAACAAGGUGUUUCUCAUGCCAGUGAUAUAUUUAUUCAUUCAUUUUCAUCUGAAAUUAAAUUUCUAAAUGUUUGUUGUUGUGUAUUUUGUUCAAACAAACUUCUUACAUAAGUGGUAUUAAAGUUAGAUAUGACACUACAUCGUGUUUCUAACUGUGUUUGUAUAGUCAUGUUUAGUCAGUUACAAGUAUAUCAAUAUAUAUAUGCUCUUGUUUCGGUAUAAAUCGGACUACGUUUCACUUGACUCUCAACAUGAACAAAAACUUCCAGUUUUUCUGUUAUAUUUCAUUACAUAUAAAGGUACUAUAGAAUCUAUUGUCACCAUUUUCAAUAUUUGUAUAACUGUCAACUUUAAUUUGAAUAUUGUAACAGUCCGGGUGAUUCAUUAAAAUUGGAAUUUUAAUAAUAAGUAUUUGUUGUUAAAGUUCAUUAAAUGGAAAUUAAAGGAAGUGUGAAAAAUGAUUAAAAUAAGUAUAACAAAAUCGUAGUUUUGAAAUGUGAAUACUAGUUUUCAUUUGGUUAUAGAGUUUUAAAACAACAUGGCAUUGAAACAACAAACAAUAAAUUUCACAGUUUGUAAUCUCUGAUUGUAAAAAUGACAAGUUUUUUGUAAAUAUUAUAUAAAAACAAACAUAUAUCUAGAGGCAUACAGAUAAUCCUAUGAAUUUUCACAGUUCUUAAUAAAGAAAUCAGCCACAGGGUGGCUUGAUAGUGGCAUUGAUGCAUGAGAGUUGGGGAACACUGGCAAGUUAAUGUUUAAUGUUUUACCUAAAAGGGCUGUUUACCUGUAAUUAACUACCUUUGAACUAUGUACAUUGAUGGACAGGUUAGGUAAUUCUUACACCUUGGUUAGUUUAAUACAACUUGUUAUUUUUUGUUUUUUAAAGUUGAUGUCAGGUUUUGCUUGAAGCCCUCUUGUUAGUUGUAAAAAUGACACAAUGUAUAAUUCUUAUUAUCUGGAUAAGAUCUUAAUGGAUUUGAAGGUGCUGUUUUAUUCUUAUUUAACACAGGAGGUUUCUGUACCUAGAUCUAAGGUGUUCAGCCAUUUGCUUCACUUCUGAAGGAGAGACAAUUACCUCUCUGUUGGAUGCUAGUUAACAUCGCUUGCUCAGUAUUGUGUAGAGUUCUGCCACAUUACAAAUCAAAGAUUAGUCAAUAUAUUUACCAGUUCACAUAUUUACAUUUCCUCAACUUUUGUAAUCUUUAUCAGAGAAAAAAUGAAUGUUAAGAAGAUAAUAAUACUACAGGCAUGACAGGGGUAUCUGAAAAUAUUAUAUAUUUAUUGAUCAAUUAUUGUUUGCUUAAAGUCCAGUGGCAAAUAUUUCAUUCAUUAUCAUGCUAAACCAUAAGUUGAAGAAUUGUAGACGACAUAUUUGCAAAUAAAGAAAAUUUAAAAAAGGGGGGGGGGGGGGGGGGGGAUGUGAUUAUACACUUAGCUGUUUUAUCACAAAUUAAUUUUAACCGAUUCAUUUUCUUAAUAUUUGUUGUUGCCAUGUUUCUUUCAGCUUUAGUUUGUAUUGAUCAUUUCCCUUGGAAGGACAAAGCUUUAUUGUUGCAGGCAGUUGGUUAAAAUAAUUAUGUCAUGCCCAUCUUGUCUCCCUCUAACAAAUAUCUCACAUAAUUUCAGACUUAAACAUCCCAGACAGAAAGUCCAUCUUACACAUUAAGACAAAUUGAUCUGGCAGAUUUUAUAGAUAUAAUAGUAAAGAAGUGCCAGAAAAAAAUAUUGCUGAAUUUUUGUGUGAUAAAUGCUGAUGGUAUUAUAGUGUGAUAAAUACAGACAUGUUAUACGUUAAUCGUUAAUCGGUCAAGGCCUCAAUACCACUUAAUCUAUAAAACCAUUUUCUUAAUUCUUUUUUUUAGUAUAAAAGUUUGUGUUGGGAGUUAUUUAAAAAUCAAUAUCUGCAGAAAGCAAGCUUAUAUGUUGUGAUGUUUGAACUCAUAUUUUGAUCAGCCACUCUAGUUUUCUAACCAGUUUUGAAAAUUUGCUGAUCACUCUAAAAUUCAAUUCUAAUUUCAAUUAAUCUUCAAAGAAAGUUUCACAUAAAAGGGUAGAAAAUGAAUUACCCACUGUUAAGUCAUUUUCUAUUGACAAACUCAAAUAUCUUAUUUCUUUAAUUUUUGUAAGGUAAACAUACAAUACAAAUCCCCGCCCCCCUGUGGGGAGCUUGGGCACAGGAUAUAUACUAAAUGAUCUUUACUAUUUAAUAGCUAAUGUUAUGCAUCAACAGAAUCAGUCGUUGGUUAUUGAGGUCGAAAUCAUUAAAGAUAUACCCCUUUAUGAAUGAGAACAGUUUUUUCUAUAACAUUAGUUUAUAACAAAGGCAGAGUACUUUAUAGAAAUGGUAUAGGUUAUUGUGUGUUAUAAUUGGAUUUAGUUUUCACAAGUACCUUAUCCUAGGGGAUUACGUGUGCCGAAGUAUUUAAAAUCAGGAGACUCAAAGUAUUAAGUUUAUUGUACGACAACCUGUUCCAAAGUAAAGCUUAAAAUUAAUAAAAGAGUUCAAGUUGAAUUGAAGUUAGGAGAAAACAAAACAUUCAUAUUUCUAUAAAAAAAAAAUCAAUGUAAUUUUAAAUACAAGUGUACAUGUUAUGUUCAGGGUUUUUAACAUCACAAUCAAUCUUGAUAUGGAUCAUUUAAUGUAUUGAUAGACAUAUAAAUUUAUUUGUGUUAAAAUCUAAAUUUGAAAUUCAUAAGGUUAUAAAUUUAUUUGUGCUCAAAUCUAAAUUUGAAAUUCAUAAGGUUUGACUGUUUUCACAAAAGAUGCAACAGACCACCAAACACUUAUUUUAUGUUGAAUAAAAGGUCUAUAAAUCCAGGGCUGUAAUAAUGAGGCUAAUUUUAUAGGCCAUUAUGAAAUUCAUAUUUUCUCAGAGAUAGUCAUCGGAAAUGGUGAGAGUCAAGUAUUAUGAUAUAUCAGACAAAAUUCAUAACUUUGUAACAUACGAUGAUUAUCAUAUUUUGUUGAAUGCACCUCAAGGGCUCUAACUGCACAUAAAAGAUAGUAUCAUUAUUAUAUCACAGAUCAACUGAUAGGUGUUAUUUUAAUCAACGUAGUGAAAGCUUCGCUGAUUUUCAUAGCGAGUAAUGAAAACUGAACAUUUCACACUACAGAUUUUGUAAUUUCUUAAAUGAUUUUUGUACAUCAAAGCUAUGCUUCUAAACUGUUAAUAACUUAACAGUCAAAGGUGAAGUAAAAAGAUGGUGAAGCUUUUAUACUUAUCUUUGCUGUGAUGCUUGAAGCGUAUUAUGAAAUAUGACACAAAAAGAUGUAGGUUGCUUAAGACAGGAAAGGUAAAAUGUUAAUUUUUGUUCAGUACACGAUUGCCUACUUUUCAACCUGAGUGUGAAAAAAUGAGAAAUGACAAGGUGUUGAAAUAGAAUAGUUUUUUUUUAACACUGACUGCAGUCUAUACCUUAAUGUAAAUUGAUUGCCCUGGAGAAAGUUAGAAAGAAAUGCACUGAAUCCUAGUCAUUGAUAGUAAUCUGUGAAUCAUUUAAGUGGCGACAUCAUAAUUUUCAUAUAAUUCCUGCAUAAAAAGAUGAGUGCUCUAUAAACGGUUUUAUAGGAUGCUCAAGUAAAUUGUAUUUUGUGAAGAUCUGAUAAAAGUUGUAUAUCAUUGUGAAAACUAGACGAUAUCAAACAGGAUGUAAAGGGUAAAUACUAUCGGUAAAAUACAACCACAAAGUUCACUGGAUUUUUAGGGAUUUAUCCGAUUUAAUUGUGGGAUCGGUAGAAUGGAGGGAGGAAAUGUAAGGUACAAAGUAUGGUGUCAUGAUAUGCUUGUGGCUUUUAUGACCAAUCUUUCAACUUCUUCUAUAUACUUGGAGGAAAAUUACGGAAAUUUUAAAGUUUAAUGUUGACUUGAUGUCUUAAUUCAUGAACAGUGAAAUUCAUGUUAUUUUGUGAAGUGAUAGGCAAAUAAUAAUGACGAGGAAUAGCAUGAAAGUAUCCUAAAAACAUAAUAAUUGACGUCCCUCCAUCCUGCCAAAAUGUUAUCCCCUCCCCUCUUAAAAAGAAAUAUUUCAAUGAAUCUUCUGUUUGUAAACUUAUAAUAAAGACGAAUAUUAUUACUUUGUAGACCUGACAAGAUGUAAUCUUAAAGUUCUUGCUGUAUUCUGACAGAAGACAUUAUAUUCAAUCAUUGUUUUAUUUGCAGGAUAUGAGAUAAAGGACUAAUCAGAAGCUGAUGGGUGUGGGGUAUAGAUCAGAAUGAGGGGCUGUCAGUUUGUUGUACAAACCAUUGUCAGUUGGACUAUAGUCUGUUUUGGUAAGUUUAACACAUUUAUUAU
rnacentral:lncRNA from 1 species